AACGAACGCUGGCGGCAUGCCUAACACAUGCAAGUCGAACGAGACCUUCGGGUCUAGUGGCGCACGGGUGCGUAACGCGUGGGAACCUGCCCUUAUGGUCGGACUAACUCCCCGAAAGGGGUGCUAAUACCGGAUAAUGUCUUCGGACCAAAGAUUUUUCGCCUUGGGUUGGUCCCGCGUUGGAUUAGCUAGUUGGUAGGGUAAAAGCCUACCAAGGCGUCGAUCCAUAGCUGGUCUGUGAGGAUGAUCAGCGACACUGGGACUGAGACACGGCCCAGACUCCUACGGGAGGCAGCAGUGGGGAAUAGUGGACCAUGGGCGAAAGCCUGAUCCAGCAAUGCCGCGUGAGUGAUGAAGGCCUUAGGGUUGUAAAGCUCUUUUACCCGGGAUGAUAAUGACAGUACCGGGAGAAUAAGCUCCGGCUAACUCCGUG
rnacentral:rRNA from 1 species